rnacentral:lncRNA from 1 species
AUUAGUAUUACUGCUAACAUAUCAUGAUAAACUCACUGGAUUAAUAUUAUAUUUAUGUUUGGCACAGAUUAUCAUAAAUUAGAGAUGGAAUGCACAUUGAGUACAAAUUGACUUCAGAAGGAUGCCAACCCAAGCCGAGCCGUCUAUCUUCCACGAAGCACCCUUGAUCCAGCAUCCCGUGUGUCCAAUUGAACAAGUUCAUCACAACCUUUCGGAGUCCUCCCACGUGCAUUCCAUGCGCCCGCAUCUCCAUGGACCGGCAUCCACACCCUUCCAUAUCAACCCAUCUUGACAUAACAUCUCACCGCAUCCAGGCUUCCAAAUCAGCCUCCCCAUUCCAGCCACCUCCAAGCCAUCCUCCUUAGUGGAUCCACGUCCUCCUCCCAGCCUCCCGCAGCCGUUCCGGGCAUUCCAUUCCCAGCAUCCCAGCGGCCAGCUCGCAAUCAAGCCUCCUGUUUCAGCAUCCCACGGUGCCCAAGAUUCUGUGAUCCCAACGAUCCCACGUUCGCUCCUCCCGUGGUCCAAAGAAGGAAGUCGUCCGGAGCGAUCUGCCCAGCAUCCAACCACUCCUUCCAAUUCGACUUCAUCCGGAUCCCGUUCCUCCCAGCAAUCCCGCAGCCAGCUCUCUUCCGGAUUAGCCUCCUUCCCAGAGCGCCCCUUCCGUGGUCCAAAGAGGGAAAUCGAUGAAGCUUNNN